rnacentral:lncRNA from 1 species
CCUGAACCAACUGCUCAAAUAAGGUUCUUCUCAUACUAACAACCUGAAAUCAAUUAUCCUGAAAGAGUUCCCUACUGAAGGAAGUUUAUUUUCCCAACAUACAAAUUAUAUUGGAAUGAUACCCAUUAAUGAGUUAAAGUAUAUUAUUUAUUCCUAAACACCCAUAAAUUUCUUGAAUCUGUAUUUGGCAAUUUUUAUUUAAACGAGGGUGUAGUUUAAGUUUUGCAAACCCAUAUUACAUUGUAAUGUAGUAUUUUUCCUCCAAAUCCCCAAAACAGCUACUGAAGACUAUUAUCCUUAAAGAGGAGGAAAGCUGGUGUCUGAAACCUUACCUGACCUUGGCCAAGUUACUUAACCUCUUGGAGUGGGAUUUUCUCAUCUGUCAGAUGCCAGAAUUCACUCCCAGAGCAACAGAACCAAGGUCACUGGCAGCCCCGAGGAAGAAGGAAAGAGACAAAUCCCAGAGACAAAGACGAGCAACUCAGCAAUGAAGAAGUAAGGAUGAUUGGAUGGAUUUUCUCCAUCCAGCAUCCUAACUGGUAAGUAAUACCUUCUGCCUCUUUAAGGUAACUAUUUAUUUGCCCUGGAAUGGACAGAGAACAUUUGCUUUAGCUUUGAAAAAAAAAUGUGCGCUCUAAU